CCUACGGGAGGCAGCAGUGGGGGAUAUUGCACAAUGGGGGGAACCCUGAUGCAGCGACGCCGCGUGGGUGAAGAAGCGCCUCGGCGCGUAAAGCCCUGUCAGCAGGGAAGAAAAUGACGGUACCUGAAGAAGAAGCCCCGGCUAACUACGUGCCAGCAGCCGCGGGAAUACGUAGGGGGCAAGCGUUCUCCGGAUUUACUGGGGGGAAGGGGGGCGCAGACGGUGAUGCAAGCCAGGAGUGGAAGCCCGGGGCCCAACCCCGGGACUGCUCUUGGAACUGCGUGGCUGGAGUGCUGGAGGGGCAGGCGGAAUUCCUGGUGUAGCGGUGAAAUGCGUAGAGAUCAGGAGGAACACCGGCGGCGAAGGCGGCCUGCUGGACCGCGACUGACGUUGAGGCUCGAAAGCGUGGGGAGCGAACAGGAUUAGAUACCCUAGUAGUC
rnacentral:rRNA from 1 species